rnacentral:misc_RNA from 1 species
GUUUGUUUAUUAUUGGCUUUAUGCGCUGCAGUCAAAACAGGGUACAUAGGUUACACUACUAAUAACUAUGGAGGCUACAAGGUUUAUCCUGCUUAUGUUGUUCAUGGACACAGUGGAUACACCGGAGGCCUUCAUGAAGAAUAUAAUGCGUAUCCUAAAUAUGCCUACGAUUAUUCAGUAAACGACCCCCACACCGGUGACCAUAAAACACAGUGGGAGACCCGUGAUGGGGACGUUGUUAAAGGCGCCUACUCUUUUGUUGAGGCAGACGGCACAACUCGUAUAGUGGAGUACACAGCUGACAAACACAAUGGUUUCAAUGCGGUUGUCAAGCGAAUAGGCCACGCUCGCCAUCCUCAAGUUAACAAAUACUAUAAUGGAGCUGGACAUUAUGUAUACCAUUAAAUGAUAUUAUAAUGUUAUGAAGUAUAUUUAAAUGGACAAAUUUAUGACAGCACGGCACAAGCAACUGUGAUAGUAUUGAAAACUAAUACUGUAAAUAUUUAAUAUUUUGAACGGUAUCACAAAUUGUUUUUGUACCUUUAUAUAAGCUACAAAAUAGCCAAUAAUUUAUUUUAUUGUUUAAAAAUGAAAUAUACAAUUUUAAGAUA